rnacentral:rRNA from 1 species
GAUGAACGCUAGCUACAGGCUUAACACAUGCAAGUCGAGCGAACAGACGAGGUGCUUGCACCUCGGACGUUAGCGGCGGACGGGUGAGUAACACGUGGGUAACCUACCUAUAAGACUGGAAUAACUCCGGGAAACCGGGGCUAAUGCCGGAUAACAUAUUGAACCGCAUGGUUCAAUAGUGAAAGACGGUCUUGCUGUCACUUAUAGAUGGACCCGCGCCGUAUUAGCUAGUUGGUAAGGUAACGGCUUACCAAGGCGACGAUACGUAGCCGACCUGAGAGGGUGAUCGGCCACACUGGAACUGAGACACGGUCCAG